rnacentral:rRNA from 1 species
CCCUUAGAUGUUCUGGGCCGCACGCGCGCUACACUGAUGAAUUCAACGAGCUCCUAACCUAGACCGAAGGGUCCGGGUAAUCUUUGAAAUUUCAUCGUGAUGGGGAUAGAUUAUUGCAAUUAUUAAUCUUCAACGAGGAAUUCCUAGUAAGCGCGAGUCAUCAGCUCGCGUUGAUUACGUCCCUGCCCUUUGUACACACCGCCCGUCGCUCCUACCGAUUGAAUGGUCCGGUGAAAUGUUCGGACCGCGACAAGGCGGACGGUUCGCUGUCAGCUUUGCUGCGGGAAGUUCAUUAAACCUUAUCAUUUAGAGGAAGGAGAAGUCGUAACA